CGCAUCUGUGCAUGCAGCAUAUCAAUAAGCGGAGGAAAAGAAACUAACAAGGAUUCCCUUAGUAACGGCGAGUGAAGCGGGAAGAGCUCAAAUUUGAAAUCUUCAAGGUUUUACCUUGACGAACUGUAGUUUAAAGAAGUGUUUUCUGUUGAAGUUUUGGUAAAAGUUCUUUGGAAUAGGACAUCAUAGAGGGUGAGAAUCCCGUAUUUGACCAUUAUUUUCAGCUGUGUGAUACACUUUCAAAGAGUCGGAUUGUUUGGGAAUGCAGUCCAAAAUGGGUGGUAAAUUUCAUCUAAAGCUAAAUAUUGGCGAGAGACCGAUAGCGAACAAGUACCGUGAGGGAAAGAUGAAAAGAACUUUGAAAAGAGAGUUAGACAGUACGUGAAAUUGUCAAAAGGGAAGCGUUUGACACCAGUGUUGUUUUCUCGAAAAUCAAUUAAAAAGAGUUAGAUUUUGUUGUGUAUUGACCUUAACAGCUUGCAUUUCAAUUUUCUUGCUUUUUUUAAUGCACUUUUCGUUUAACAAGUCAACAUCAGUUUCUUUUGUUGUAAAAAGGUCAUUGGAAGGUGGCUUUCUUUUCGGAGAAAGUGUUUAUAGCCUUUGACUCCUGCAAUCGGAGAGACUGAGGUCUGCAGCGUAGAUCCUUCGGGGUUAGAUACAUUUGUGCUAAGUUAUAGCUUUUUAUAGACAACUUGUUAACUAUGAUUAGUCUUGUAGCUUACUCGCUUAUGCUAUUUUACCUACGCUUAGGAUGUUGAUGUAAUACUGCGAGCA
rnacentral:rRNA from 1 species